rnacentral:rRNA from 1 species
GACGAACGCUGGCGGCGUGCUUAACACAUGCAAGUCGAACGAAGUGGCGAACGGGUGAGUAACGCGUAAUCAACCUGCCCUUCAGUGGGGGACAACAGUUGGAAACGACUGCUAAUACCGCAUACUGAAGGAGGGGAUUGGGUUUGAUUAGCUAGUUGGAGGGGUAACGGCCCACAAAGGCGAGCAUCAGUAGCCGGUCGGAGAGGAUGAACGGCCAAAUUGGGACUGAGACACGGCCCAGACUCCUAAGGGAGGCAGCAGGGGGGAAUCUUCCGAAAAGGAGGGAAGUCUGACGGAGCAACGCCGCGUGAGUGAUGACGGCCUUCGGGUUGUAAAGCUCUGUUAAUCGGGACGCGGUACCGGAAUAGAAAGCCACGGCUAACUACGUGCCAGCAGCCGCGGUAAUAC